rnacentral:rRNA from 1 species
CCUGGCGGCAUGCCUAGCCAUGCAAGUCGAACGAUUGCCUUCGGGUGAUAGUGGCGCACGGGUGCGUAACGCGUGGGAAUCUGCCCCUUGGUUCGGAAUAACAGCUAGAAAUGGCUGCUAAUACCGGAUGACGACGUAAGUCCAAAGAUUUAUCGCCGAGGGAUGAGCCCGCGUAAGAUUAGGUAGUUGGUGUGGUAAAGGCGCACCAAGCCGACGAUCUUUAGCUGGUCUGAGAGGAUGAUCAGCCACACUGGGACUGAGACACGGCCCAGACUCCUACGGGAGGCAGCAGUGGGGAAUAUUGGACAAUGGGCGCAAGCCUGAUCCAGCAAUGCCGCGUGAGUGAUGAAGGCCUUAGGGUUGUAAAGCUCUUUUACCCGGGAUGAUAAUGACAGUACCGGGAGAAUAAGCUCCGGCUAACUCCGUGCCAGCAGCCGCGGUAAU